rnacentral:rRNA from 1 species
GACGAACGCUGGCGGCGUGCUUAACACAUGCAAGUCGAACGAAGUGGCGAACGGGUGAGUAACGCGUAAUCAACCUGCCCUUCAGAGGGGGACAACAGUUGGAAACGACUGCUAAUACCGCAUACUGAAGGAGGGGAUUGCGUCUGAUGAGCUAGUUGGAGGGGUAAAGGCCCACAAAGGCGAUGAUCAGGAUCCGGUCGGUGAGGGUGAACGGGCAAAAUGGGAAUGAGACACGGCCCAGACUCCUACGGGAGGCAGCAGUGGGGAAGCUUCCGCAAAGGACGAAAAUCUGACGGGGCAACGCCGCGGGAGUGAUGACGGCCUUCGGGUUGUAAAGCUUUGUUAAUCGGGACGCGGUACCGGAAUAGAAAGCCACGGCUAACUACGUGCCAGCAGCCGCGGUAAUAC